UGUUACAGAGUGGUAAACAUCACACAUAAUGAAUAAUGACUCAGCAUUAAAAGAAGAUGUACUAACAGUAUAAAAUAUAAAGAGUAUAAAAUAUAAAAAGUAAAUUUUUCCACCACAGUACAAAGAACACUUUCUUUUUUAAUAGGAACCCAUUCAUCAGCUCUCUGCUGUGACUGCUGGAAGUUUGUUUUCUGGAAGAUUUCAGCCGCUUAGAAACGUAAUCUAUUUGUUUGUUAUUAUCCAGCUUUAUUACUUCACACCAGUAACCUGAAUUAACAAUAAUUUGGUAUGAAACCCAUUUUUCAGAUGAAAUUUCCAGUGGAAGAUAGGUGGAUUUGUCCUGUCAGUGUAGGCGCUCAUUGGAUUUUAGUGGUUAGUGGCUUUCUUAUAUUUUCUUCAAACCUAUUUCUGGCAUGUAUUGUGUAUAUAUGCAUUUCAGUUGACCUGAUGCAACAGAAGUCUAUUCUCAUAAAAGGGUUUGCUACAUACAUAUGUCAUAGUGUGAUGGAAUAACAUGAAUCUACUAAACAUUUAUAGAUUGUCAACAUGUCAGAAAGGACACUACUACUUGUCGAUCCACUGGGUAACGAAGACAAGUAUAAACACAAAAUCCUAUGAAACUGGAGGUAAUGACUUUUGAAAGUUUGAACUUUAAUAACAUAGGUCAAAUGUUUAGAUGAAAGUACAAAGUUUGAAGCUCUUGUUUUGAUUUUUUUUUUUUUUUAUUAUUAUGUAUUGGAGAUAGACAUUCAGCAUAUAAUAAGACUUACAUUGUACAAACACAAAAGACAACAAACUGAAAGUGUCACAUCAGAGCUCUUGGUCUUUCUUAUGUGAUGAGAAUGUGCCUCAUGUAUUGCAUAUGUUUGUUAUGCUAUUUAAACAAUAAUUAGGAACUUCUUGAGGAUGGCAGGCCGUGAUGUCCAUGGACAUAAAUGGAGUGUAAAAACUGUUAACCACAACCACCAGCAAUACAGCAGUAGCUGUGGGAUUUUGGUGUUAAAGUUUGCAGAGGACUUUCUUAGCCGUGGAGACAUCGAGACCACCCAGACCCAUCCUGCUGAUGUUUCAAAGGCUCGAUGGGAUGUAGCAUGUGCCCUCCUAGAGGGUGGAGGUCUAUAACAAAGAAAUCAACCAUCAUGAAGCCAUCCUCUCUCUCUGUCUCUCUAAAAAAAAUUGUAUUUAUCAAAUAAAGCUGUCUUUAUGUCCUCCU